GCGUUCUCUUCAGCACAUAUACUAAAAUUGGAAAGAUAUAGAGAUUAGCACGGCCCCUGUGCAAGGAUGACACACAAAUUCAAGAAGCAUUUUGUUUGUUU
rnacentral:snRNA from 1 species